UUUAUUUUACUGUGGGAAGAACAUUUUGCACGUGCCCUACCCUCUUAACAAUCUUUCCGUGCGUGAUGCCACAUUGCUCACUGCAGGGACCAUGUGAGACAGCAGAUCUCUGGAGCCUUCUCAUCUGACUCAACUGAAACUUUGUGCCUGUUGGGUAGUCACUCCCCAUCUCCGCCUCCCGCCAGUCGCCAGCAACCACCAUUCCACUCUCUGAUUCUCUGAAUUGACUAUUCUAGACAUUUCAGAGAAGUGCAAACAGGGAGUGUUUGUUUUUCUGUGACCGGCUGAUUUCACUCAGCCUGAUGUCCUCCCAGUGUCUCCGUGUUGUCACAUAGAAGUUUCCUCUUCUUAAAGGCUGACUACUAUCCCAUUGUAUGUGCGUGCCCCAUACUCUUCACCCAUUUAUCUGUUGGUGGACUCGUAGGGUUUUUUCCCCACGUCUUGGCUGCUGUGGAUAGUGCUGCAAUGAACACGGGGAUGCAGAUAUCCCUUCGAGAACCCUGAUUUCAGUUCUUUGGGAUAAAUUCCCAGACCUGGGAUUGCUGGAUCAUAUGGUAGUUCUAGUUUUAAUUUUUUGGAGGCACCUCCACGCUGUCUUGUGCAGCAACUCUACCAUUUUGAAUUCCCACCGAUGGUGUGCGAAGCUUCCAGUUUCUCCACAUCCUUACCAAUGUCUGUCUGUUUGCUUUUUUGAUAGCAGCCAUCCUGACGGGUCUGAGGUGAAGCAAAUUCUUAAAGCUCCCACACUUUGGAGCCCAGCAGAGGCCUGGAGAUGUUUUUCUCCAAGACCAGACACAGAAGCUCCAGAGAAAACCCACUCAACACAGUGCCCAAAUGAAGGGCUUGGGAAUGAGGGGAGAUAUUGCCAAUGACACGUCUGGAAAGAACCCUCUGGAAAGAGCUUUGUUGGGUGCACUAACAGGACCGGGGUUCUAAGCAAAGGUAGGCCUGAUUCUUAGCAAAAUCCCCACAUGUUUGGGGAGCAGAGUUCUUGAUGAAGCCAUAUUUGUUGGAAGAAGUCAAGCUUGUUUUUGACUUAAAGAAGACAGAACAUUCUAGUGACUCCUCAGUCAAAUGGCAUCCAGAGCCAUUGUCAGCUCUUGUAAUAUUCCGAAGCUGCGCAGAGAAAUUCGAAGCUCUAUGUGCCGUCUCUCUCUCUGUCAAACUGUCUCUUUCUCUGUCAAAUAAAUAAAUAAAAUCUUAAAAAGGGGGGGGCCCUGGGUGGCUCAGUCCUUAAGUGUCUGCCUUCGGCUCAGGACAUGAUCCCAGGGUGCUGGGAUCGAGCCCCGCAUCGGGCUCCAUGCUCUGCUGGGAGCCUGCUUCUUCCUCUCCCACUCCCCCUGCUUGUGUUCCCUCUCUCGCUGGCUGUCUCUCUCUCUGUCAAAUAAAUAAAUAAAAUCUUUAAAAGAAUAAGAAGAAGAAGAAGCAUCUCCAUGUGCAGCUCAUGAAAGUACCAGUGGUUUCUCAGCACAUUCAACUCCAGCCUUUCACAAAAUCUGAUAUGCUCGUUCUAAAACCAUCAAAGGAAAUGUCCUGUAUUAGGAGUCCCAUUUGGAAACUUCAAGUAUUGUUAAUGCUCUCAAAAGGAUGCAAAGUUUCUAUUCCAAGUAUAUUUUUGAUUGGAAGAAUGAUCUCAGUACCUUGUAAAUAGAUGGGGUGGUUGGCUUCCCUCAGCACCCGAAUCUAGAGUUGCAGUCUUUUCCGAGAGUUUGGGAAGCAUCAAGAGCAGUUGUUCAACCAGACUCGGGAAAAGCAACACAAACAAAGUUCUUGCUGUCACGGACCUCAAGUGCUAGUUAGAGGCAGGAAAAGGAAAUAGCAAGCAAUAAAAGAGGGUAAGUUCAGAAUUUAAAGAUGCCACACACACACACACAGGGUAUGGGCUGUGCACAGACUCCGUUCCCACUCUCCAUGAGGGCUUCCUCCCAUUAUGCAUUGCCUGACCUACACCACAGUGAGAGGCAGCCCUGCACAACUCAGACAAUAAAAAAAUGCUACAAGGAAAAUACAGUAGGAUGACUGGUGACUAGGGUGGGUUCCAGUGUGACAGAUAGGGACAGCAGGAAAACACCUGUCUGAGAAGAUGCCAUUUGAAGUGAAGAAGAAGUGAGCUGUGCUAAGAUCUGGGGGAAGAGCAUUCCAGGCAGAAGGAACAGCCGAUGCAAAGGUGCUGUGGUCAGCUGAAUAAUGGUCCCUCCAAGAUGCCCACACCCCAAUCCCUAGAACCUGUGAAUAUGCUUCCCUUAUAUGGUAAAAGGGACUUUGCAGUUGUGAUUGAAUAAAAGUCUUGAGAUAAUGGGGUGCCUGGGUGGCACAGCGGUUAAGUGUCUGCCUUUGGCUCAGGGCAUGAUCCCAGCGUUCUGGGAUGGAGCCCCACAUCAGGCUCCUCCGCUAGGAGCCUGCUUCUUCCUCUCCCACUCCCCCUGCUUGUGUUCCCUCUCUCACUGGCUGUCUCUGUCAAAUAAAUAAAUAAAAUCUUUAAAAAAAAAAAGUCUUGAGAU
rnacentral:lncRNA from 1 species